CGUAAAUCGAAUGUCAUAAUACUAAUUUAAAAACUCUGAUGCUAGAUAAUUAUAAGGCGCUUAACUUAUUUCUGUUUUUAUUUUAGAUGCUGGAGUGUUAUUAAAAACAAAAUAGUAUUAUGGCCAUUGCUGGCGAUAUUGUAGCGCAUCAUUAAACUACUACAUUCUGGAAAUACACACCGCAUGCAAUGAGUUCACCACACGUAUGUAAAAUAAAGUACACCACGCCUUGUUACCAGAAAAUAAAAGUUCUACUCUGUUCACCUACUUCAACCGCAGCGCUGAGUCUUGACUCGCCCACCUAAUACAGACUGUAGCCUAUGUCUAGUGGGUGUAAUUUGAUUCACAGGUUAGCUGUAGCAUAUUAUUAUUAUUAUUUGUGAUAUUUUUCAGUAUUCAGCCGGUUAAGGUAUCAAAGUUUCAUAUUCAUGCUUGUGUAUAGUUAUAUCACUAUAUAAAUAUUGGAAUACCAAAGUUAGUUGAUUAUGGA